AUGGGAAUUGUUGAAUCAUGGCCUGAACUUCUGAUUGACCACCUGAGGCGAGCAAUGAGUCAGCCAUGGGAGCACAGGUGAAGGCAAUUCCUGUGUUACUGUCCUAGAUCCCAUUUAAGGGCUGACUGCCACUAGGGAAGGAUUUCUGGAGGUUGUUCCUUUUGGUGUUUUUCUUGAUAAGCCUGGGACACAGUUGAUGAGAAGCAGUCAGGAAGUCUAGCAGAUAUGAAUAGGAAACCACUGGAAUAUAAGGUGCUGGUAGGACCAAAACCUGUAGAAUGGGCCCAAUGCCUACCACAGCAUACUUGCUAGUCAUGAAGAGCGCAAACUGUGCACACGUGCCAAGGACACAAGCUGUAAAUAUCCAUCAUCUGCCACUGAAAAUGAGCAUGUCAGCAGGUCCUUCCACAUCAGGUCCUGUAUAAAAGUAGACCAGGAUCUAGACGUGCAUUUAUGUUCUUUAGCACAGACUUGUAAAUUAAUACAGUAUGCAUUUUAGGACAUUUGUAAAUAACUAUUUGAUGUACAUUAUAGUAUUAUUUCAACUAGCAGAUAUAGAUUAAGAAACACAGUAUAUAAACUUUUACUUCAUUCUGUGUAGAACUCUCCAGCCUUUUUGGAGAUUGGAGUAUAAUGUUUUGGCAAAGUAUCCCCCUAACUGAUAUUUUCUACUAUUUACAUUAUGCUUUUCUACUGAAUAGUAUGUUAUUUUACAUCCAUAGUACUCAGACUAUGCUAAAAAAUAAGCAUAUAAGAUUAAGCUUCUGUAAGUCUCUAGCUGACCGUAACUAUUCUAUCUGCUUUCCUUCUGAGUAUCCUUGGCAUAAUGUGUCCUGAAGAACAUAUUCUGUUCUGAAGGGUGAAGCAAACAAUGGAAGCCAUAAUGCUACCAUAUUUGCUUACAGAACUCCCAAAGAAUGUUUUCAGGUUUUGUGGCACAAGGUUUGCGUUUUGUUGACCAGAAAAAAUAAAUGCCUUCAAGCACUGAUGAGCAGUCAUGUUCAUGAACAGGUUACUCUGACAUGUGUGUUUUGGUAAAGAACAGGAAAUUGUUAUUCCCAUUUCUCUUGCAAAAUCGUUCUUUAAUGACCCAGAAAGGACCAUAUCUGACACCAAGCACCUUGAUUAAAACUGACUGCCCCCUUUGUUCUCUAGUAUUUUGUAAUCUAGUAGUUUCCAAAAAUGCAAUUGUAGAAGCAGAGCACUACUUUUCACCGUUUCUCAGAGUUACUACAAUACCUGUAGAAGUUGUAUAGUAGCUCUUAAACAAACCAGAUCUUUCAGCGUUCAAGGGCCUUUCUCCAGAGAGGUAGAUCAAUACACUUUCCCAG
ensembl:lncRNA